UACGUAGGUGGCAAGCGUUGUCCGGAAUUACUGGGUGUAAAGGGAGCGUAGGCGGGAAUACAAGUUGGAUGUCUAAUCUACCGGCUUAACCGGUAUUCGCAUUCAAAACUGUAUUUCUUGAGUGAAGUAGAGGCAGGCGGAAUUCCUAGUGUGGCGGUGAAAUGCGUAGAUAUUAGGAGGAACACCAGUGGCGAAGGCGGUCUGCUGGACAGCAACUGACGCUGAGGCGCGAAAGCGUGGGGAGCAAACAGG
rnacentral:rRNA from 1 species